AUAAUCUCAAUGCUAAGGUUGAAGAUCAGAGUAGUCAAAUUCAACAGCUGGAAAUGGAGAAGUCUAACCUCCUGUGUAAAUUUGCUGAACAGAAUGAAGAAGUAACCAAAUUAAAUGCUGAUUUAGAUCAAGUCACUAAAGUGGCUAAAAUGAUGACUAAAGGUACUGAUGCCUUUGAAGAAAUGUUACAGAGACAAAACUAUGGGAAACCUAAGCCCAUUGGUUUUGAACAUGAAAGAGUAAAG
rnacentral:lncRNA from 1 species